rnacentral:rRNA from 1 species
UACGUAGGGGGCAAGCGUUGUCCGGAUUCAUUGGGCGUAAAGAGCGUGUAGGCGGCCAGGUAGGUCGGUUGUGAAAACUGGAGGCUCAACCUUCAGACGUCGACCGAAACCAUCUGGCUAGAGUCCGGGAGAGGAGAGUGGAAUUCCUGGUGUAGCGGUGAAAUGCGCAGAUAUCAGGAAGAACACCUAUGGCGAAGGCAGCUCUCUGGGACGGUACUGACGCUGAGACGCGAAAGCGUGGGGAGCGAACAGG